rnacentral:misc_RNA from 1 species
CUUCUGGUGCCUGAGCGCCACCGCCGGCACGACGAAACCAGCAGUGCCGGCGGCGGAAGCACCGACGCCUCGCUUCCGGAGGCUUCGGAUCCUGAGAUGGAUGCCUCUUUCGGUGGUCACCGAAGGAUUCUCGCCGCCCCUCCUGGACCUCAGCCUCGCGGGCUUCUCCUCGUCGGGCGGUGGAAGCACUGCGGGCGCUCUGGUGCUCCUGGACCGCAGCUUGAAGGCGCCCGAGUUCCUGCUCGCUUGUCGCGCGAACGGGUGCCGCGCGGACCUGCUGCUGAUGCUCAUGCUCUGCA